CGAAGUAGUAAUACUUAGUGGCAAACGGGUGAGUAACAUGUGGGUAUCUGCCCUUCGGCCUGGAAUAACACGGGGAAACUUGUGCUAAUACCGGAUAAGUCUUUUAAGAGAAAGCUUUAUGCUCCGAUGGAUGAGCCCGCACCUGAUUAGUUAGUUGGUGAGGUAAUAGCUCACCAAGACAAUGAUCAGUAGCUGAUUUGAGAGGAUGAUCAGCCACAUUGGGACUGAGACACGGCCCAAACUCCUACGGGAGGCAGCAGUGGGGAAUCUUGCACAAUGGGGGAAACCCUGAUGCAGCGAUGCCGCGUGAGUGAAGAAGGCCUUUGGGUUGUAAAGCUCUUUCGUCGGGGAAGAAAAUGACUGUACCCGAAUAAGAAGGUCCGGCUAACUUCGUGCCAGCAGCCGCGGUAAUACGAAGGGACCUAGCGUAGUUCGGAAUUACUGGGCUUAAAGAGCUCGUAGGUGGUUAAGAAAGUUGGUGGUGAAAUCCCAAGGCUUAACCUUGGAACUGCCACCAAAACUUUUUGACUGGAGUAUGAUAGAGGUAAGUGGAAUUUCUAGUGUAGAGGUGAAAUUCGUAGAUAUUAGAAAGAACACCAAUUGCGAAGGCAGCUUUCUGGAUCAUUACUGACACUGAGGAGCGAAAGCAUGGGUAGCGAAGAGGAUUAGAUACCCUCGUAGUCCAUGCCGUAAACGAUGUGUGCUAGACGUUGGAAACUUAGUUUUCAGUGUCGCAGCGAAAGCGUU
rnacentral:rRNA from 1 species